rnacentral:tRNA from 1 species
AAUAAAAUGGCUGAGUAUAAAGCGAUAAAUUGUAAAUUUAUUUACGAGAAAGUUCUCUUUUAUUA